ncrna:Hahella chejuensis KCTC 2396 SAM-I/IV variant riboswitch
UUCGUGCAUCAAGAGAAGGACUGACGUCCUCACCAACCUGCCGACCUGGGCAAGGUGGUGCCAGAACCGAUACAGGAAACAUUUUGUUUAAGUCAAUAAUGUCGAUUACCAA